ACACCCAAGCAUGCUCCAGACAGCAGGCUGCUAUCGAUUCAUGAGGACACUGGAGGAUAAGAAGAAGGUAGUAGCAGAUUACAUUCAGUGGUACUUCAUCUACUGAAACCAUCUUUCCAUCCAAAGUUUCAGAGAGGGUCUAGCAACACUGGAUUUUCUAAACGCCCUGGAACAGCAUCCCUCACUCUUCUUCUCAUUCAUGUGCUACACUGAGACCAGGCUGACAGCUGAUCUUCUGGAGAACAUCUUCCAUGUGCAAUUUGGUCCACCUGGCAGCUCUAGGCGUCAAGAGUACUGAGCUACUGGCAAGACUAUCUGCUUUCUGUAGAAGAGAAAAAUGGAAGUCUGUCUCUUGAAGACAUCCCUAUGUUUGCAACUGGACUGAGGGAAAUUCCUCCUGCAGCAAUUCAGCCAAAGUCACAGCUUCUUUUCCAGACCACUUCACGCUUUCCUGUAACAGAUGUCUGUGCAAAUACUAUCAAAAUCACAGUGUUACAGUUAUGAGGACUUCCAAGAAGCCAUGGAUUAUGGCAUCCAGAACUCUCCUGGGUUUGGGCUUCCCUAAGGUCCAAGUCCUUUUGCUUUUAAGCCACAUUUAUGGUUUCU